GGACCCUCUGAUCUCCUUAUUUCCCAAAGCAGCUGAUGGCUCCCAUGGCCGGAAGAAAGAGCACAACAGUGCGAUCGAAGAAAUAGUGAGGAAGAAAAUCAAAAAAUAACCAUAAAAAAUAAGAAAAAAAUUACAGAGGCUUUAUUUUUCCAAGAAAAUCCAGUGAUAGCUGGCAAAAUCAAAGAUCUAAGGUUUAGAAAUAACGAGGAGAAGGAUCAGCAAAGAUUCAAGAGAUCCUUAUCUUAUUUCCGGCAAUAGUUGGUCCCGAUUUCCAGCGAACACAGUGCGAUCAAUCAUGAGUUUUCUAGAGAAGAUUUGAGAAAAAUAGAGGCAGAAGCUCGGGCUGGGGUUGUUGGCUUUAAGAAAGAGACGGAUCCCCUUCAAAUAGAGGACCAAACGGAGAGAAAAUAAGCUAGAAUUUGACUCCAAAUCGAAGUUGGAGUCUUCGUUGGACGAGGAAGAAGAACUCCUUCAGCAGUUUUUUUCCGUGUCCUAGAGCAUGUGC
rnacentral:lncRNA from 1 species